CCGCGUGAGUGAGGAAGGUCUUCGGAUCGUAAAGCUCUGUUGUAAGAGAAAAACGGCACUCAUAGGGAAUGAUGAGUGAGUGAUGGUAUCUUACCAGAAAGUCACGGCUAACUACGUGCCAGCAGCCGCGGUAAUACGUAGGUGGCGAGCGUUAUCCGGAAUGAUUGGGCGUAAAGGGUGCGUAGGUGGCAGAUCAAGUCUGGAGUAAAAGGUAUGGGCUCAACCCGUACUGGCUCUGGAAACUGAUCAGCUAGAGAACAGAAGAGGACGGCGGAACUCCAUGUGUAGCGGUAAAAUGCGUAGAUAUAUGGAAGAACACCGGUGGCGAAGGCGGCCGUCUGGUCUGGAUUCUGACACUGAAGCACGAAAGCGUGGGGAGCAAAUAGGAUUAGAUACCCUAGUAGUCCACGCCGUAAACGAUGAGAACUAGGUGUUGGGGGAAUAACUCAGUGCCGCAGUUAACGCAGUAAGUUCUCCGCCUGGGGAGUAUGCACGCAAGUGUG
rnacentral:rRNA from 1 species